rnacentral:rRNA from 1 species
AUUGAACGCUGGCGGCAUGCUUUACACAUGCAAGUCGAACGGCAGCACGGGUGCUUGCACCUGGUGGCGAGUGGCGGACGGGUGAGUAAUACAUCGGAACGUAUCCAGAAGAGGGGGAUAACGCAUCGAAAGAUGUGCUAAUACCGCAUAUUCUCUGAGGAGGAAAGCAGGGGGAUCGCAAGACCUUGCGCUUUUGGAGCGGCUGAUGUCUGAUUAGCUAGUUGGUGGGGUAAAGGCCUACCAAGGCGACGAUUAGUAGUUGGUCUGAGAGGACGACCAGCCACACUGGGACUGAGACACGGCCCAGACUCCUACGGGAGGCAGCAGUGGGGAAUUUUGGACAAUGGGCGCAAGCCUGAUCCAGCAAUGCCGCGUGAGUGAAGAAGGCCUCGGUU